UAAAUAAAUAAUAAUAACCAGUAUGACAUUAUAAGUAGAUAACAGUAUCACAAAAAUUGAAAAAGUUUUUUUGGAAAAAGGAUUGUGAAUCAUUCAUAAGUUUAAUCACUAUCUUAUCAUUUUGUAAUAUUAAUUUUUUACACUCAAUUUAUUGGACUAAUGUUGAUGAAAAUGUUGAACGUCAAUUAUCUGCAGGUUACAAUAGUGAUAAUCUGUUAUUUUCAAGCUCAUUUUGUAAUUGGUACUUAUGUUAAAUUAACACAUGAUGGACCAACUGUCCAGGGUGGUAGUAUAACAUUUAAAGCUGAAGUAUUUCCAUCUGAUGAUUGGAUUGCAAUUGAAUCAUAUACUUAUAGAUGGAAUGAUAAUGGACAAGGCAAUCAUCAUUACAAAACACCAGAGACUAAAAACACAACGAGUAUUUGGAAAGUUGAUUAUCCAGCAGAUAUUUAUCCAGCUGGUGAAUACAGUGUUGAAGUUGAAGUUCAUUGUAAUAGAGAAUUUAUAUUUUCAUUCGAAACAAGUCAACAUAGUAAUUUCGAAAUAACAACAUUACUCAAUGGUAACAUGACGAUAGCUCAAUCAAAUCACAGUAUAGAAAAUAAUUAUGUAUCAUCAGACGCUGAGACUGAAAUUAAAAUUGAUUUACGAAGUGGUGAUUAUGAUUAUAUAACAAAAAAUGCAACAGAGUUAUCAACAUAUUGGUUUAUUGAUUGUCAAUAUUAUGGACAAACAAAUGAUUUUAAUUUUAAAUAUAAUUUUACAAAUCCAAAUACUGAAAGUAGUAUUGAAGCAUUAAUUGUUGCAUCUUAUGAACCAUUGACAACACCUGCACCACCAACAACAACAACAACUACUACUACAACAACAACUCCAGCUCCAACAACAACAUCAACAACAACAACUACAACUAUUAAACCAACAACCACAUCAUCAACAACAACUCCAGCAUCAAAAAAUACAACAACAACAAUAGCAUCAAUUAAAAGUGAUAAAAAAAUAAUUAAUAAAAGAGAUACAUCAAACAAAGUAUCAACAAAUAAACUUGCUAAUAAUAUAACACUACCAUAUGUUUGUAUAAACACAUCAAUUGUAACACCAGAUCCAAAAAAAACAUAUGGUUAUUUUCAUAAAAAAAUAACUAUAAAUGAGCCAAUUAAAAAUAUAUCAGUUAAUGGAUCAACAUGGAUACAACCAUGGAAUAUGUUGUAUUUAAAUGUAAGCUGUCAUGGUUCUGGACCAUUUGUUAAAUGUAUUAGAAAUCAUGUUGGUAAUUAUAACAUAACUGGAAAUGAAACAUGUAAUGAAGAUGAUGGAAUGUUAUUAACAACAUGUAAUUUUUCUAUAAAACGUUAUUUUUUUGAGCCAAAUGUUUAUACUGUACUUGUUAUGCUUCGUAAUAAUAUUAGUACACAAAUUUAUCCAAUAACAAUUAAUAUUUAUAAAGUUACUCCAAAACCACAGUUGAGUGUUAUUGUGGUGCCAAUAACAUGCUCAGUUGCAGCUGUUGUAUUGAUUGUAUUUGGUGUUGCUUAUUAUAUACAAAGUCGAUCAAGAUGUACAAUUGAAGUUGCUAAUUUUGAUUUUGGACAAAGUAAUCCUGAUAUGGAGUAUAAAACUUUUACUGAACGGCUUAAGGAUUCAUUUAAUAGCAGUGUAAGACAUGGAUACAAGAAUUUAAAUCGUUCGUCUUACUAUGGAAGCAUGAAUUAAUAUAUAUAAUUUAUUAAUAUGGGAAAUUUUAUUGGAAUUUAUUGUCAGGAAUUAUAUGCACAUGUAUUUGGAUAUAAAACACUUGGCUCCCAUGAAGCUCCAGAACGUCAAUAAUAGAAUAAAAAACAAAAAAAAAUCAAUUAGGAUUAAGGAUCAAUAAACGAAUCAAGCUUUUUUUUUUUU
rnacentral:misc_RNA from 1 species